UAAGGAAUAUUGGUCGAUGGACGCAAGUCUGAACCAGCCAUGCCGCGUGAAGGAUUAAGGCCCUCUGGGUUGUAAACUUCUUUUAUAUGGGACGAAAUGUGCCGAUUCUUCGGCACUUGACGGUACCAUAGGAAUAAGCACCGGCUAACUCCGUGCCAGCAGCCGCGGUAAUACGGAGGGUGCAAGCGUUAUCCGGAUUCACUGGGUUUAAAGGGUGCGUAGGCGGGCAGGUAAGUCAGUGGUGAAAUCUUCCGGCUUAACCGGAAAACUGCCGUUGAUACUAUUUGUCUUGAAUAUUGCGGAGGUAAGCGGAAUAUGUCAUGUAGCGGUGAAAUGCAUAGAUAUGACACAGAACACCGAUUGCGAAGGCAGCUUGCUAAGCUGUAACUGACGCUGAGGCACGAAAGCGUGGGGAGCAAACA
rnacentral:rRNA from 1 species